UGCUCACUUUAGAGGUCCAGAUACUAAAAUUGGAAUGAUACAGAGAGGAUUAGCAUGGCCCCCAUACAAGGAUGACAUGCAAAAUCACGAAGCAUUCCAUAUUGAA
ensembl:snRNA U6 U6 spliceosomal RNA